AGUGUUAUCUUUUAAGGGCGUUAUUUUAGCGUGUUUAACGAUUUUUGAAUAUCAUUUUAGAGGCAAUCAAAAAUUUGCAAAAUGAGAAUUAAAAUUGGAGUAAUGUAAUAAUGGUGGCCACGACUGGACUUGAACCAGCGACCACUACCA
rnacentral:antisense_RNA from 17 species